rnacentral:rRNA from 1 species
GAUGAACGCUGGCGGCGUGCUUAACACAUGCAAGUCGAACGGAAAGGCCUCUGCUUGCAGGGGUACUCGAGUGGCGAACGGGUGAGUAACACGUGGGUGAUCUGCCCUGCACUUCGGGAUAAGCCUGGGAAACUGGGUCUAAUACCGGAUAGGACAAUGGUUUGGAUGCUGUUGUGGAAAGUUUUUCGGUGUGGGAUGAGCUCGCGGCCUAUCAGCUUGUUGGUGGGGUAAUGGCCUACCAAGGCGUCGACGGGUAGCCGGCCUGAGAGGGGGUACGGCCACAUUGGGACUGAGAUACGGCCCAGACUCCUACGGGAGGCAGCAGUGGGGAAUAUUGCACAAUGGGCGCAAGCCUGAUGCAGCGACGCCGCGUGGGGGAUGACGGCCUUCGGGUUGUAAACUCCUUUCGCUAGGGACGAAGCGUUUUUGUGACGGUACCUGGAGAAGAAGCACCGGCUAACUACGUG